rnacentral:rRNA from 1 species
AGCCCAGAGCCUGAAUCAGUGUGUGUGUUAGUGGAAGCGUCUGGAAAGGCGCGCGAUACAGGGUGACAGCCCCGUACACAAAAAUGCACAUACUGUGAGCUCGAUGAGUAGGGCGGGACACGUGGUAUCCUGUCUGAAUAUGGGGGGACCAUCCUCCAAGGCUAAAUACUCCUGACUGACCGAUAGUGAACCAGUACCGUGAGGGAAAGGCGAAAAGAACCCCGGCGAGGGGAGUGAAAAAGAACCUGAAACCGUGUACGUACAAGCAGUGGGAGCCUCUUAAUGGGGUGACUGCGUACCUUUUGUAUAAUGGGUCAGCGACUUAUAUUCUGUAGCAAGGUUAACCGAAUAGGGGAGCCGAAGGGAAACCGAGUCUUAACUGGGCGUUAAGUUGCAGGGUAUAGACCCGAAACCCGGUGAUCUAGCCAUGGGCAGGUUGAAGGUUGGGUAACACUAACUGGAGGACCGAACCGACUAAUGUUGAAAAAUUAGCGGAUGACUUGUGGCUGGGGGUGAAAGGCCAAUCAAACCGGGAGAUAGCUGGUUCUCCCCGAAAGCUAUUUAGGUAGCGCCUCGUGAAUUCAUCUCCGGGGGUAGAGCACUGUUUCGGCAAGGGGGUCAUCCCGACUUACCAACCCGAUGCAAACUGCGAAUACCGGAGAAUGUUAUCACGGGAGACACACGGCGGGUGCUAACGUCCGUCGUGAAGAGGGAAACAACCCAGACCGCCAGCUAAGGUCCCAAAGUCAUGGUUAAGUGGGAAACGAUGUGGGAAGGCCCAGACAGCCAGGAUGUUGGCUUAGAAGCAGCCAUCAUUUAAAGAAAGCGUAAUAGCUCACUGGUCGAGUCGGCCUGCGCGGAAGAUGUAACGGGGCUAAACCAUGCACCGAAGCUGCGGCAGCGACACUAUGUGUUGUUGGGUAGGGGAGCGUUCUGUAAGCCUGUGAAGGUGUACUGUGAGGUAUGCUGGAGGUAUCAGAAGUGCGAAUGCUGACAUAAGUAACGAUAAAGCGGGUGAAAAGCCCGCUCGCCGGAAGACCAAGGGUUCCUGUCCAACGUUAAUCGGGGCAGGGUGAGUCGACCCCUAAGGCGAGGCCGAAAGGCGUAGUCGAUGGGAAACAGGUUAAUAUUCCUGUACUUGGUGUUACUGCGAAGGGGGGACGGAGAAGGCUAUGUUGGCCGGGCGACGGUUGUCCCGGUUUAAGCGUGUAGGCUGGUUUUCCAGGCAAAUCCGGAAAAUCAAGGCUGAGGCGUGAUGACGAGGCACUACGGUGCUGAAGCAACAAAUGCCCUGCUUCCAGGAAAAGCCUCUAAGCAUCAGGUAACAUCAAAUCGUACCCCAAACCGACACAGGUGGUCAGGUAGAGAAUACCAAGGCGCUUGAGAGAACUCGGGUGAAGGAACUAGGCAAAAUGGUGCCGUAACUUCGGGAGAAGGCACGCUGAUAUGUAGGUGAAGCGACUUGCUCGUGGAGCUGAAAUCAGUCGAAGAUACCAGCUGGCUGCAACUGUUUAUUAAAAACACAGCACUGUGCAAACACGAAAGUGGACGUAUACGGUGUGACGCCUGCCCGGUGCCGGAAGGUUAAUUGAUGGGGUUAGCGGUAACGCGAAGCUCUUGAUCGAAGCCCCGGUAAACGGCGGCCGUAACUAUAACGGUCCUAAGGUAGCGAAAUUCCUUGUCGGGUAAGUUCCGACCUGCACGAAUGGCGUAAUGAUGGCCAGGCUGUCUCCACCCGAGACUCAGUGAAAUUGAACUCGCUGUGAAGAUGCAGUGUACCCGCGGCAAGACGGAAAGACCCCGUGAACCUUUACUAUAGCUUGACACUGAACAUUGAGCCUUGAUGUGUAGGAUAGGUGGGAGGCUUUGAAGUGUGGACGCCAGUCUGCAUGGAGCCGGCCUUGAAAUACCACCCUUUAAUGUUUGAUGUUCUAACGUUGGCCCCUGACCGGGGUUGCGGACAGUGUCUGGUGGGUAGUUUGACUGGGGCGGUCUCCUCCUAAAGAGUAACGGAGGAGCACGAAGGUUGGCUAAUCCUGGUCGGACAUCAGGAGGUUAGUGCAAUGGCAUAAGCCAGCUUGACUGCGAGCGUGACGGCGCGAGCAGGUGCGAAAGCAGGUCAUAGUGAUCCGGUGGUUCUGAAUGGAAGGGCCAUCGCUCAACGGAUAAAAGGUACUCCGGGGAUAACAGGCUGAUACCGCCCAAGAGUUCAUAUCGACGGCGGUGUUUGGCACCUCGAUGUCGGCUCAUCACAUCCUGGGGCUGAAGUAGGUCCCAAGGGUAUGGCUGUUCGCCAUUUAAAGUGGUACGCGAGCUGGGUUUAGAACGUCGUGAGACAGUUCGGUCCCUAUCUGCCGUGGGCGCUGGAGAACUGAGGGGGGCUGCUCCUAGUACGAGAGGACCGGAGUGGACGCAUCACUGGUGUUCGGGUUGUCAUGCCAAUGGCACUGCCCGGUAGCUAAAUGCGGAAGAGAUAAGUGCUGAAAGCAUCUAAGCACGAAACUUGCCCCGAGAUGAGUUCUCCCUGACUCCUUGAGAGUCCUGAAGGAACGUUGAAGACGACGACGUUGAUAGGCCGGGUGUGUAAGCGCAGCGAUGCGUUGAGCUAACCGGUACUAAUGAACCGUGAGGCUUAACCUU